GGGGCUGUAACUCAGUGGUAGAGUGCCUCGUUUGCAUCCAUUCAUCAGGCCCUCCUCUUCAAUGUUCUUGUAGAGUUGACAUGAUGGGAAUAGGACCGACCUUCGAUGAAGUCCAGGGUUCGACUCCCUGCCGCUCCA